AUUAAUUCAAGGGAUAUGUCCAAUCCGAACAGUCGUGUCUCUUCUUUGUGUCUAUUGUCAACAGGCACCUGUUCUCGAGGUUUGCAUCCGAACAGACACUUCUUUUUCGUCACCUCUUUCAGAUGUAUAUAUACUUCAGAAUCAAUAGAAAAAGGACUGCUGGUCCAUUCACUUUCAUUCAAUCUCGUUUUACUCUAACACGUUAUCAGCACGCUCUAUAUCUGAGCGAUUUCGAGAUCGAGAAGAACACAAAGAAAGAAAAACAGGCAAAAGGUAAGAAGAAAACCAGUCGCCCAUGGCGUUGGAUUCCGCAGGACGCAGCCGCCCGCGCCGCGCUCCUCGCGAG
rnacentral:lncRNA from 1 species